UUGUCUUACGGGGCAAGCGCCAUCUCCAACCCUUUGUGAACACAUCUUGUUGCUUCGGGGGCGACCCUGCCGUUCGCGGCAUUCCCCCCGGAGGCCAUCAAAACACUGCAUUCUUACGUCGGAGUAUAAAGUUAAUUUAAUAAAACUUUCAACAACGGAUCUCUUGGUUCUGGCAUCGAUGAAGAACGCAGCGAAAUGCGAUAAGUAAUGUGAAUUGCAGAAUUCAGUGAAUCAUCGAAUCUUUGAACGCACAUUGCGCCCCCUGGUAUUCCGGGGGGCAUGCCUGUUCGAGCGUCAUUUCACCACUCAAGCCUCGCUUGGUAUUGGGCGUCGCGAGUCUCUCGCGCGCCUUAAAGUCUCCGGCUGUUUGACCCGUCUCCCAGCGUUGUGGCAACUAUCUCGCAGUGGAGUUCGAGUCGGAUUGGCCGUUAAAUCU
rnacentral:rRNA from 1 species